GGAAGGUUGACCGAGUGGUUUAAGGAGCCGGUCUUGAAAACCGGUGGGCGUUCGCGCCCCGAGGGUUCGAAUCCCUCACCUUCCGCCA
rnacentral:tRNA from 1 species